GUGAGUCAGAAACUAUUUUCAAUCACAAUUUACAAUUUUAUUAUCAGAUAGCAGUGACAGUACCUUCUUAAAAAUAGCCGAUAACGUCUGCUUGAUAGGACACUCCACGUCGCUACAUAUUUUGUCUUCUUGUCCAUGUAACUCGUCCUGAUCAUUCACGGAUAAAAACAACAAAUGUGUGUUGUUUUUAGCAAGAACUUUGUGUGGGAAAAUAGCGGCGUGUUUGUCUCUUAUAAGUUUCAGGUUUUUCAUUUCUAUUUCUGCUGCCUGUUAAAGAAAUUUGUAAGAAUGAAAACUAUGUAGUUAGAGGUUAGCAAUGAUGAGUUGAUCAUGUUAAAAUCUGAGGUUAACAUUGUCAGAUCAAAGUUAGUAACAAGUUAGUAACAUCCCAAGAUACAGUUAUA
rnacentral:lncRNA from 1 species